CGAGAAAGUUAAAAGAACUGCUA
rnacentral:tRNA from 1 species